CCAAUGUGAACCAUACCAAACUGUUGCCUCGGCGGGGUCACGCCCCGGGUGCGUCGCAGCCCCGGAACCAGGCGCCCGCCGGAGGGACCAACCAAACUCUUUCUGUAGUCCCCUCGCGGACGUUAUUUCUUACAGCUCUGAGCAAAAAUUCAAAAUGAAUCAAAACUUUCAACAACGGAUCUCUUGGUUCUGGCAUCGAUGAAGAACGCAGCGAAAUGCGAUAAGUAAUGUGAAUUGCAGAAUUCAGUGAAUCAUCGAAUCUUUGAACGCACAUUGCGCCCGCCAGUAUUCUGGCGGGCAUGCCUGUCCGAGCGUCAUUUCAACCCUCGAACCCCUCCGGGGGGUCGGCGUUGGGGAUCGGGAACCCCUAAGACGGGAUCCCGGCCCCGAAAUACAGUGGCGGUCUCGCCGCAGCCUCUCCUGCGCAGUAGUUUGCACAACUCGCACCGGGAGCGCGGCGCGUCCACGUCCGUAAAACACCCAACUUCUGAAAUGUUGACCUCGGAUCAGGUAGGAAUACCCGCUGAACUUAAGCAUAUCAAUAAGCGGA
rnacentral:rRNA from 1 species